GUGCUCGCUUUGGCAGCACAUAUACUAAAAUUGGAAUGAUAUAGAGAAGAUUAGCAUGGCCCCUGUGCAAGGAUGACAUGCAAAUUUGUGAAGCGUUCCAUAUUUUU
rnacentral:snRNA from 1 species